rnacentral:rRNA from 1 species
GAUGAACGCUGGCGGCGUGCCUAAUACAUGCAAGUCGAGCGAACAGACGAGGAGCUUGCUCCUCUGACGUUAGCGGCGGACGGGUGAGUAACACGUGGAUAACCUACCUAUAAGACUGGGAUAACUUCGGGAAACCGGAGCUAAUACCGGAUAAUAUAUUGAACCGCAUGGUUCAAUAGUGAAAGACGGUUUUGCUGUCACUUAUAGAUGGAUCCGCGCCGCAUUCGCUAGUUGGUAAGGUAACGGCUUACCAAGGCGACGAUGCGUAGCCGACCUGAGAGGGUGAUCGGCCACACUGGAACUGAGACACGGUCCAGACUCCUACGGGAGGAAGCAGUAGGGAAUCUUCCGCAAUGGGCGAAAGCCUGACGGAGCAACGCCGCGUGAGUGAUGAAGGUCUUCGGAUCGUAAAACUCUGUUAGUAGGGAAGAACAAAUGUGUAAGUAACUAUGCACGUCUUGACGGUACCUAAUCAGAAAGCCACGGCUAACUACGUG